rnacentral:tRNA from 1 species
GCCGACGUAGCUCAGCGGUAGAGCAACUGAUUCGUAAUCAGUAGGUCCUCGGUUCAAGUCCGAGCGUCGGCACCA